GACAGAGGUGCCGGGCGUUAGGCGGAAUCACUGGGCUUAAAGCGUGUGUAGGCGGAUUUGUAAGUACCUUGUGAAAUCCCACGGCUCAACCGUGGAACUGCUUGGUAUACUGCUUAUCUUGGGUCAUCUAGGGGCGAGCGGAACAAACGGUGGAGCGGUGAAAUGCGUAGAUAUCGUUUGGAACGCCAAUGGUGAAAACAGCUCGCUGGGGAUGUACCGACGCUGAGACACGAAAGCCAGGGGAGCGAACGGG
rnacentral:rRNA from 1 species